GUGCAGCAGGCGCGAAAACUCCGCAAUGCGCGAAAGCGUGACGGGGUCACCCCGAGUGCCGUCCGCUGAGGAUGGCUUUUGCCUGGUCUAACCAGCCGGGUGAAUAAGGGGAGGGCAAGUCUGGUGUCAGCCGCCGCGGUAAUACCAGCUCCCCGAGUGGUUGGGACGAUUAUUGGGUCUGAAGCGUCCGUAGCCGGCCGGAAAAGUUCCCCGUUAAAUCUGGCGAUCCAAUCGUUGGGCUGCGGGGAAUACUCUUCGGCUUGGGGGCGAGGGAGGUCGGCGGUAGUCCCGGGGUAGGGGCGAAAUCCUAUAAUCCCGGGAGGACCACCAGUGGCGAAGGCGGCCGACUAAAACGCGCCCGACGGUGAGGGACGAAAGCUGGGGGAGCGAACGGGAUUAGAUAUGAAGUUGAGUUUUUGCCAGCUUCACUAGAUACCCCGGUAGUCC
rnacentral:rRNA from 1 species